rnacentral:rRNA from 1 species
GUGCCAGCCGCCGCGGUAAUACCGGCAGCACGAGUGAUGACCGAUAUUAUUGGGCCUAAAGCGUCCGUAGCUGGCCCGACAAGUCCGUUGGGAAAUCGACGUGCUCAACGCGUCGGCGUCCGGCGGAAACUGUUUGGCUUGGGGCCAGAAGACCUGGGGGGUACGUCCGGGGUAGGAGUGAAAUCCUGUAAUCCUGGACGGACCACCAAUGGGGAAACCACCUCAGGAGGAUGGACCCGACAGUGAGGGACGAAAGCUAGGGUCUCGAACCGGAUUAGAAACCCCAGUAGUCC